rnacentral:rRNA from 1 species
CCGGGUACAACCAGGUAUCCCCUAAAUCUGGUACUAAUCGUGUCUCCGCGCGCCCGCGCCACGGGGUGUGAUUAACUUCUCCCUAUUUCCCCACAUACGGGUGAUAUUCUGUCCCUCCCCCCGCGAUUGCGGAUGGGGGGAGUAAUCUCUUCUCCCCCCCCCGUGAAGAGAACAAGUGGUGGAGACGCUUUCGAUAAAGGCACGCAAAAACCCUCCCGUACGGGGCCCGAGGGGAAGUUUACCCAAAUCCAAGUUAAUGCUUGGGAUGGCGCCGCGCCCGUCCGGGCCUUAAGAGAAUACCUCCUCCUCCUCUCUCUAUAUAAAAACAAUUUUUUUUAAAAAAAAAAAGAAGAGAGGGGGGGGGGUCCUCACACGCCCGUCGCUACUACCGAUUGAAUGGCUCAGUGAGGCCUUCGGACUGGCGCAGGAGGGUUGGCAACGACCCCCCAGCGCCGGAAAGUUGGUCAAACUCGGUCAUUUAGAGGAAGUAAAAGUCGUAACAAGGUUUCCGUAGGUGAACCUGCGGAAGGAUCAUUACCGAGUGAGGGCCCUCUGGGUCCAACCUCCCACCCGUGUUGCACGAACCUGUGUUGCUUCGGCGGGCCCGCCGCCAGGCCGCCGGGGGGCAUCCGCCCCCGGGCCCGCGCCCGCCGAAGCCCCCCUCUGAACGCUGUCUGAAGUUGCAGUCUGAGACAACUAGCUAAAUUAGUUAAAACUUUCAACAACGGAUCUCUUGGUUCCGGCAUCGAUGAAGAACGCAGCGAAAUGCGAUAACUAAUGUGAAUUGCAGAAUUCAGUGAAUCAUCGAGUCUUUGAACGCACAUUGCGCCCUCUGGUAUUCCGGAGGGCAUGCCUGUCCGAGCGUCAUUGCUGCCCUCAAGCACGGCUUGUGUGUUGGGCCCCGUCCCCCCCGCUCCGGGGGGGACGGGCCCGAAAGGCAGCGGCGGCACCGCGUCCGGUCCUCGAGCGUAUGGGGCUUCGUCACCCGCUCUUGUAGGCCCGGCCGGCGCCAGCCGACCCCCAACCUUUUAUUAUUUCUCAGGUGACCUCGGAUCAGGUAGCGAACGUGUU